rnacentral:rRNA from 1 species
UACAGAGGUCUCAAGCGUUGUUCGGAUUCAUUGGGCGUAAAGGGUGCGUAGGUGGCGUCGUAAGUCGGGUGUGAAAUUUCGGAGCUUAACUCCGAAACUGCAUUCGAUACUGCGGUGCUUGAGGACUGGAGAGGAGACUGGAAUUCAUGGUGUAGCAGUGAAAUGCGUAGAGAUCAUGAGGAAGACCAGUGGCGAAGGCGGGUCUCUGGACAGUUCCUGACACUGGAGGCACGAAGGCCAGGGGAGCAAACGGG